rnacentral:rRNA from 1 species
AAACUGGGUUUAAUACCGUAUACGCCCUUCGGGGGAAAGAAUUUCGGUGAGGGAUCGGCCCGCGUUAGAUUAGUUAGUUGGUGGGGUAAUGGCCUACCAAGACUACGAUCUAUAGCUGGUUUGAGAGGAUGAUCAGCAACACUGGGACUGAGACACGGCCCAGACUCCUACGGGAGGCAGCAGUGGGGAAUCUUAGACAAUGGGGGCAACCCUGAUCUAGCGAUGCCGCGUGAGUGAUGAAGGCCUUAGGGUCGUAAAGCUCUUUCGCCUGUGAUGAUAAUGACAGUAGCAGGUAAAGAAACCCCGGCUAACUCCGUGCCAGCAGCCGCGGUAAUACGGAGGGGGUUAGCGUUGUUCGGAAUUACUGGGCGUAAAGCGCACGUAGGCGGAUUAGUCAGUCAGAGGUGAAAUCCCAGGGCUCAACCCUGGAACUGCCUUUGAUACUGCUAGUCUUGAGUUCGAGAGAGGUAAGUGGAAUUCCGAGUGUAGAGGUGAAAUUCGUAGAUAUUCGGAGGAACACCAGUGGCGAAGGCGGCUUACUGGCUCGAUACUGACGCUGAGGUGCGAAAGUGUGGGGAGCAAACAGGAUUAGAUACCCUGGUAGUCCACACCGUAAACGAUGAAUGCCAGUCGUCGGGUAGCAUGCUAUUCGGUGACACACCUAACGGAUUAAGCAUUCCGCCUGGGGAGUACGGUCGCAAGAUUAAAACUC